AUGAAUGAAGAUACUAUACAGUGGCAGUUUAUAGGUUUUUAUGGUCAUCCGUCUUGGAGUGAGCAUAACUUGUCUUGGGAUAAUAUUCGAAACUUACACAAUAAGGGUAAUCACCCCUGGGUGGUCUUAGGACAUUUUAAUGAAAUUUUGUUUUCAACGGAAAAGGAAGGCGGAAAUGCGAGACCUAAUGCUAUGAUGAGAGAUUUUUGUAAUUUUUUAGGGGAGUGCGGCCUCGAGGAAAUGGGAUGUAUUGGUGAGCCUUUCACCUGGAGGAGAGGUGAAACUAGGGAGAGACUUGACCAAGCGGUUUGCAAUGUGGAAUGGGCAAAUAAAUUCCCUCGGGCUGCGAACAUAAACAAGGAACCUGUUCACUCUGAUCAUCGUCCCCUUGUCCUGGAUACCAAAUAUUUUGAUGGCAAUAUUUUUAAUCGCCCAAUGGGACAAGUGAAACAAUUUGAAGCUUGA
rnacentral:rRNA from 1 species